GCCUAUGGCCAUACCACCCUGAACGCGCCCGAUCUCGUCUGAUCUCGGAAGCUAAGCAGGGUCGGGCCUGGUUAGUACUUGGAUGGGAGACCGCCUCGGAAUACCGGGUGCUGUAGGCU
rnacentral:rRNA from 1 species